rnacentral:lncRNA from 1 species
ACUAGAGCCAAAUCUAUCUCAAAAGUUUAGGUCAUUUUUGUUUUCCUUUUUGAUAGCAUUCAAUGAGAAACAACACUUUAAAUAAAACUUUUUCCAUGAGGAAGGUAUAGUAAUUAUCCAC